rnacentral:misc_RNA from 1 species
GUUUUGGCUAUACAUUUCUUCUUAUUGAUUAUUGAUUUCAAGUUAUCCCUUCCAUUUUUAUUGGCGAUUGAUGUAAUCUGAGUGAAUGUUGGGGCUGCUUUGAGACCAAAAAAAUUAUUGAAUCUGAUCCUAGUCUCCUAGAUCAGUUUUCCGCAAGUUUAAUACAUGCUUAGGAUUCUCAGAUAAGCCCUAGAUGAUGAUGAGAGAAGGAAAGGAAUAAAUACAAGUUGGAAAUUUUAUUUUUUUGAGUUCAGAAACCGAACAACGAUUCCACAAUUCUUUCAAGUUAUUAAAUGUUUAGGCCAUGAGGGAUUGUUACAUAUUAUAGAAAUAAGUUUACGAAUAAAAAGGAGGGAAAGACUGUUGUAACUGAAGGAGAGUGGCUAAUGGCAGUUAUAAAAGUCAAUAAACAGUUGGAAUUGAUUAAAUAAACAACUGGAAUAACUAAAGUGUAUAAAACAGGGGAGUUACCUUAUAAUAGCAUAACUGAAAUCUCAGA